GGAAGACCUGAUUCGACCUUGGUUCCCUGAGUUCUCUGAAGCCCGGGCCAUCAUGCUUUCCAGAGGCCUUGGUGGGGUUAUGCUUCCUCAUCUCUUCAGUCUGGGUCUUUCUAAGCUUCACCCUGACCGUUGUCAUCAGUCUACUCCUUUGGCUAUGGGCUGCUUUGUCUAGGAAUGGCCUAUAUUUCCUCCCAGAUGGGACCUGUACUGCAGGCAGCAAUCAGCAUCUUUGGCAUGGUUGGGGGACCGCUGCUGGGACUCUUCUGCCUUGGAAUGUUCUUUCCAUGUGCCAACCCUCCUGGUGCUGUUGUGGGCCUGUUGGCUGGACUCGUCAUGGCCUUCUGGAUCGGCAUCGGGAGCAUCGUGACCAGCAUGGGCUCCAGCAUGCCACCCUCUCCCUCUAAUGGGUCCAGCUUCUCCCUGCCCACCAAUCUAACCGUUGCCACUGUGACCACACUGAUGCCCUUGACUACCUUCUCCAAGCCCACAGGGCUGCGGCGGUUCUAUUCCUUGUCUUACUUAUGGUACAGUGCUCACAACUCCACCACAGUCAUUGUGGUGGGCUUGAUUGUCAGUCUACUCACUGGGAGAAUGCAAG
rnacentral:sRNA from 1 species